rnacentral:rRNA from 1 species
CGAAAGCCUGACGGAGCAAGACCGCGUGGGGGAGGAAGGCUCUAGGGUUGUAAACCCCUUUUCUUUGGGAAGAACAAAAUGACGGUACCAAAGGAAUCAGCCUCGGCGAACUCCGUGCCAGCAGCCGCGGUAAUAAGGAGGAGGAAAGCGUUAUCCGGAAUGAUGGGGCGUAAAGCGUCCGCAGGUGGCAAUGUAAGUCUGCUGUCAAAACCCAGGGCUCAACUCUGGUCAGUCAGUGGAAACUACAUAGCUAGAGUGCGGUAGGGGCAAAGGGAAUUCCCGGUGUAGCGGUGAAAUGCGUAGAGAUCGGGAAGAACAUCGGUGGCGAAAGCGCUUUGCUAGACCGAAACUGACACUCAGGGACGAAAGCUAGGGGAGCG